rnacentral:misc_RNA from 1 species
GAACGCACAUUGCGCCCUCUGGUAUUCCGGAGGGCAUGCCUGUUCGAGCGUCAUUUGCUAAACUCAAGCCUACUUGUAGGCCUGGUCUUGGGCGAUGUCCCCUCUGUGGGACACGCCUCAAAUGCAACGGCGACACUGCCUGGCUUCAAGCGUCUAGGAAACUUCAUCGCUUCUGUCAGAUAAAUGUUCUGCCUCUCAACCCCAAUUUUUAUUCUGGGUUGACCUCGGAUCAGGUAGGGAUACCCGCUGAACUUAAG